rnacentral:rRNA from 1 species
AUUGAACGCUGGCGGCAUGCCUUACACAUGCAAGUCGAACGGCAGCACGGGUGCUUGCACCUGGUGGCGAGUGGCGAACGGGUGAGUAAUACAUCGGAACAUGUCCUGUAGUGGGGGAUAGCCCGGCGAAAGCCGGAUUAAUACCGCAUACGAUCUACGGAUGAAAGCGGGGGACCUUCGGGCCUCGCGCUAUAGGGUUGGCCGAUGGCUGAUUAGCUAGUUGGUGGGGUAAAGGCCUAACAAGGCGACGAUCAGUAGCUGGUCUGAGAGGACGACCAGCCACACUGGGACUGAGACACGGCCCAGACUCCUACGGGAGGCAGCAGUGGGGAAUUUUGGACAAUGGGCGAAAGCCUGAUCCAGCAAUGCCGCGUGUGUGAAGAAGGCCUUCGGGUUGUAAAGCACUUUUGUCCGGAAAGAAAUCCUUGGCCCUAAUACGGUCGGGGGAUGACGGUACCGGAAGAAUAAGCGCCGGCUAACUACGUG